rnacentral:rRNA from 1 species
AUGAAGAAGCUGUUCAAGAUGGACAGCGUCACUCAUGUGGCAAGCGUGGAGCUGUGGGUGUUGAUGACAACGCUGCUGCUGGUGGUGAGGUUCGCGCUGGAUGGCUUGGGGCCGUGGUACGCGGACAGGGCCACGGCAGUCACCAUCCAAAUCAUCGAGAUGCUCAACUACUCCAUGGUGCACUACACCAUGGGGCUGAUGCAGCUCUCGGCCAAGACGGUGAACGACUACUUCCAGGUCUGGGCGGUGCUGCUGGUAACCCUGCAGUACAGCGUCAAGACUGGGCGCCUGUACCGGAGGUCCAAGAACACGCCGCUGCUGGAUGUCAUGUCAUCUUUUUGGACAGCCAAUCUCCUCCGAAUGCAGACCUUCUCCCUUCUCAGGAUUCCCCUUUGGGUAAUCUGGGCCCUCAACGCAGUCCGCAUCAUCUCCUACUUUGACUCAACUGAUAGGGCCGUCACCAUCAACCAAGAGAACACCAGGCUGGUCAGCGACUAUAUGCGAUACGAGCACACACUCGGUCCCUCUGGCGAUGCAGCCAAUUCCGGCGGUGAGUUCAGGAUGCAGUCAUACAAGUACUUGGUCUGUGGGGAAGACCUGGUGCUUCAUGACGCCCAGCAGGAGAGGACAACUGCAUCAGCACAGUACAGGAUUCGGUUGGAUCCGGAUAACAAUAGCAAGCUCAUCACCAUACAGAAGAUAUGGGAUUUGGAUGCUGGCAGCAGUGGGUUACUGGGCGGCACCAAAGACACUGGCAACCGAUUGAAAGACGUCUGCCUUUCAUUCGCCCUGUACAAGCUGCUGUGCCGUCGGUUCUAUAAUCUCCCGAUACAUGAGGCUACCCAAGACAAGACGAGGCGGCUCGUAUUCGACUACAUCCUGCAGGAGAACACCGACAACUAUGAGAGGGCAUUCCGCGUCACCAAGGUGGAAUUGUCUUUCCUCCAAGACUUGUUCUAUAGCAAGCAUGCUGCCAUGUUUGCAGGGGGAUUUCCAGUCUUCACUAUGCUCAUGUCUUUGUUUCUUGUUGCGGCCACCCGCUAUCUUGCAUAUCCGGUCCAUUAUAUACCAGAGAGAAUGGAUCAAGCCGACAAAAAUACCAUCACUCACGGGGUGAUUGUCACUCGCAUCAUAGUUGGCCUUAUCAUUGCCAAGGAGCUUUUGGAGGUCUAUCAAUAUGUAUUCUCGGAAUGGGCAAAGGUUCUGCUGAUCUGCAAGUACAUCCAGCAUCGGUGCAUGCAGAAUCUGGUGGCGGAGGCAGCAAUGAGAAGUAUGUUUAGGUUCAUCAGGGGCAAAUGGGAUCAAAGGAUCUUCCAGUAUAACCUUCUGAUUUCUUACUCGCAUCCUUUGAAGAAAUUCCCCCGAUCCAUCAAAUUGGAGUCAGAAGUAAAGACGGCUAUAUUUGAGUCGUUCAAGGGCCUGCAGCAGCAUCCAAAAAGGCUGGAAGCCUACUUCUUAAAUGCAUUCGGAUCAAAGGAAGCCCUUAUGCAACAGCUAACAUGGGCAGUUCAGUUAGAGGCUGAUACCCACAGGAUACUGGUCUGGCACAUCGCAACAUGCUUCUGCGAGAUACAUUUCUCUGAUGAAGCGAAAAAACUCAAGGUUCUAUUCCUUCGAAAUAGGCUCUUGGCUAGGAAAUCAACAACUUCAUAUGAUGUGUGGCCACAUUACUUAAUUGCUGUCAGCUUAUCAAACUACUGUGCAUACCUUCUUACCAAAGCGUUGGUACCAGACAACGGCUUUGUUGUUACAAAGGUCUUGAAUGCCGUACGUAAUGAAACCUUUCGUGCUACUUAUUGCUCGUUCUCCCAAUCAAUGAAAGAUGUCUACAGGAAACUUGUGAAGAUUGCCAUUGAGCUCUCUAAACAGUCUGAUGAGGUGGUCAGUGGAACAAGUGGAGCCCCUGAAAGUUCGGUACUCUAUGAGCAAGUGCCCCCGAUGGUUACUGAUGAGGAAGAUCCCAACAGAAUGGGAGAUGGUGAUAUUAACAGUUCCAUAACCAAUGACCAGGUACCGAGUAGGGAAUAUACUGUUAAGGGUGACGAUGCCAUCCAUAAUUCGGUAACCCAGAUGGGUGCAAAGCUUGGGAAGCAGUUGAUAGAGAGUUACAAUUCCGACAGUGUAGGCCUAUGGAGGGAUCUAGCAGUGUUCUGGACAGGUUUCCUCCUCAACUUGGCAGCAUCAACCAGAGCAGCCAAACAUAAGACACGACUGGCUGGAAAGGGGGAGCUCAUAACGCACCUGUGGGUUUUGCUGUCUCAUGCCGGGUUUCUCGGAAAUGCCAUGCAUGGGCAAACACUCUUAGACCCACAUGACCUUGAUGAUGUCGACCCGCUCAGAUGA